rnacentral:rRNA from 1 species
UGGGGAAUUUUGCGCAAUGGGGGAAACCCUGACGCAGCAACGCCGCGUGGAGGAUGAAGUCCCUUGGGACGUAAACUCCUUUCGACCGGGACGAAUAAUGACUGUACCGGAAGAAGAAGCCCCGGCUAACUUCGUGCCAGCAGCCGCGGUAAUACGAGGGGGGCAAGCGUUGUUCGGAAUUAUUGGGCGUAAAGGGUGCGUAGGCGGUCUGACAAGUCUGAUGUGAAAUCUAUGGGCUCAACCCAUAGUCUGCAUCGGAAACUGUCGGGCUUGAGUAUGGGAGAGGUGAGUGGAAUUUCCGGUGUAGCGGUGAAAUGCGUAGAUAUCGGAAGGAACACCUGUGGCGAAAGCGGCUCACUGGACCAUUACUGACGCUGAUGCACGAAAGCUAGGGGAGCAAAC